rnacentral:rRNA from 1 species
AACGAACGCUGGCGGCAGGCUUAACACAUGCAAGUCGAGCGCCCCGCAAGGGGAGCGGCAGACGGGUGAGUAACGCGUGGGAAUCUACCCAUCUCUACGGCAUCACGCAUGGAAACGGGUGCUAAUACCGUAUACGUCCUUCGGGAGCAAGAUUUAUCGGAGGUGGAUGAGCCCGCGGUGGAUUAGCUAGUUGGUGGGGUAAAGGCCUGCCAAGGUGACGUUCCACAGCUGGUCUGGGAGGACGAUCCGCCCCACUGGCACCGAGACACGGCCCAGACUCCUACGGGCGGCAGGAGGGGGGAAUAUUGGACAAUGGGCUCAAGACUGAUCCAGCCAUGCCGCGUGAGUGUUGAAGGCCCUAGGGUUGUAAAGCUCGUUCACCGGUGAAGAUAAUGACGGUAACCGGAGAAGAAGCCCCGGCUAACUUCGUGCCAGCCGCCGCGGUAAGAC